rnacentral:lncRNA from 1 species
UAAGAGGAAAAGUAUAUUUACUUCUAGAUACACAAAAGCAUUUAUCAUCACAUUUCUCCUUCCUCUUCAUCCAGAACUUUCUGAGGUGCUGGUUCACUUUAUCAAGCUCCCACAAGGAUGUGCAGACAAUGCAUGUUUAUGUGGCCAUUGGCAGGGGGACAAGGAAUACACAAUUAGUUUUGAGAUCUGAAAAACACUAUUUCAAGGCCUGCACUGAGGAAUGAAUCCCAACUAUGAAAAUACUUUUAUGACAGAAUAUACUUGGCUUGUAUACACCAACCUGAAAAGGAAAAUGGCAUUUCCUAAUAUAUUUAUUCCCAGGUUAAUGCUUGUAUUUUUCCCCAAGAAAGCAGGAAUUGGACCAGAUGGAUCCAUGGAGGACCUUACAGGACUAAAAUGCAGUAUGUUAUGCAGCAUGAAUGCAAUAUUCAGUGUAGAAGAGAUCAAACUUACUGAAGAAAAUUAUAGUGCAAGAAAUAAUGCCUUAGGAGGGUGGUUUGGGCCCUCAUCCCUGUUCUGGGGCUGUCCUCUCCCUGUAAGAUGA